AUUAAGCAUAUCAAUAAGCGGAGGAAAAGAAACUAACAAGGAUUCCCCUAGUAACGGCGAGUGAAGCGGGAUGAGCUCAAAUUUAAAAUCUGGCAGUCUAAGAUUGUCCGAGUUGUAGUCUAGAGAAGCGUUUUCCGCGUAGGCCUGUGUACAAGUCCCUUGGAAUAGGGCGUCAUAGAGGGUGAGAAUCCCGUCCUUGACACAGAUCAUCUAUGCUUUGCGAUGCGCUCUCGAAGAGUCGAGUUGUUUGGGAAUGCAGCUCAAAAUGGGUGGUAAAUUCCAUCUAAAGCUAAAUAUUGGCGAGAGACCGAUAGCGAACAAGUACCGUGAGGGAAAGAUGAAAAGCACUUUGGAAAGAGAGUUAAACAGUACGUGAAAUUGUUGAAAGGGAAACGAUUGAAGUCAGUCAUGUGGUUCGAGAUUCAGCCGGUUCUGCCGGUGUAUUUCUCGAGCUACAGGCCAGCAUCAGUUUCGACCGGUGGAAAAAGUUGGAGGGAACGUGGCAUCCUCGGAUGUGUUAUAGCCCUCUUUCAGAUGCAUCGGACGGGACUGAGGAACGCAGCGUGCCUUUAUGGUCGGUCUUCGGACACGAACGCGCUUAGGAUGCUGGCAUAAUGGCUUUAAACGACCCGUG
rnacentral:rRNA from 1 species